AACAAAGAAGGGAUAGCAAAGCUGGGGUGCAAAGACUUCCUCGCAGAAUCGCACCAAAGAGCAAAGAGAACAAUAUGCGGCUGGUUUCAGCCACAUAACAUCAUUUGAAGAGAUACUGGUUAGGUUGGCAAUGGUAGAGGAAAACGAUUCAGAUAAGUAGUGAAUUGGAAUAUCGUAAUUUACGAUGGAAUCAUCUACAUGUUCAACUAAUACCAAAUUCUUCAGAGCUUUGUACUUGCCAUUGAUCAUCUAAACACUUUGGCUGCCACAUGCCCAUUAUUGGAA
rnacentral:misc_RNA from 1 species